rnacentral:rRNA from 2 species
GGUCAAGUUAUUAAGGGUGCAGGGCGGAUGCCUUGGCACUAGGAGCCGAUGAAGGACGUGAUAAGCUGCGAUAAGCUUCGGGGAGUUGCACGUAAACUUUGAUCCGAAGAUUUCCGAAUGAGGAAACUCACUUAGAGUAAUGUCUAAGUAUCAUUAAGUGAAUACAUAGCUUAAUGAGGGGAACUCAGGGAACUGAAACAUCUAAGUACCUGAAGGAAGAGAAAGAAAUUCGAUUCCGUAAGUAGCGGCGAGCGAACGCGGAUUAGCCCAAACCAAUAAAGUUUUCUUUAUUGGGGUUGCGGACAUAUCAUAACGAAGAGGUAUCGUAAUUGAAGAGGUUUGGAAAGACCCACCACAGAAGGUAAUAGUCCUGUAUGUUAAACGAGAAGACUUCAGAUAUGAUCCAGAGUACCACGGGACACGUGAAACCCUGUGGGAAGCAGGAGGGACCACCCUCCAAGGCUAAAUACUACCUAGUGACCGAUAGCGUAUAGUACCGUGAGGGAAAGGUGAAAAGAACCCCGGGAGGGGAGUGAAAUAGAACCUGAAACCCUGCACUUACAAGCUGUGGAAGCACAUUUCUUGUGUGACCGCGUACUUUUUGUAGAACGGGCCAACGAGUUACGUUAAGUAGCAAGGUUAAGCACUUAAGGUGCGGAGCCGUAGCGAAAGCGAGUUUUAACUGAGCGUUCAGUUAUUUGACGUAGACCCGAAACCGGGCGACCUACCCAUGAGCAGGAUGAAGCGAAAGUAAAAUUUCGUGGAGGUCCGAACCCACGAGCGUUGAAAAGCUCGGGGAUGACUUGUGGGUAGCGGUGAAAUUCCAAUCGAGCCCGGAGAUAGCUGGUUCUCCCCGAAAUAGCUUUAGGGCUAGCCUCAAGGUGAGAGAUACGGAGGUAGAGCACUGAAUGUCCUAGGGGGUAUUGCACCUACCGAAGACUAUCAAACUCCGAAUGCCGUCAUCUUAUACUUGGGAGUCAGACUGUGGGUGAUAAGAUUCAUAGUCGAAAGGGCAACAGCCCAGAUCGUCAGCUAAGGUCCCUAAAUGUAAGUUAAGUGGUAAAGGAUGUGGGAUUGCACAGACAACCAGGAUGUUGGCUUAGAAGCAGCCACUCAUUCAAAGAGUGCGUAAUAGCUCACUGGUCGAGUGAUCCUGCGCCGAAGAUUUCCGGGGCUAAAACUUACUACCGAAGCUACGGCAUCAGUAAUGAUGGGUAGGGGAGCUUCCCAUACGGGUUGAAGCAUGACCGUAAGGACAUGUGGACAGUAUGGGAGUGAGAAUGUUGGCAUGAGUAGCGAGAUGUGGGUGAGAAUCCCACAGGCCGUAAACCCAAGGUUUCCAGGGGAAGGUUCGUCCGCCCUGGGUUAGUCGGGACCUAAGCUGAGGCCGAAAGGCGUAGGUGAUGGACAACAGGUUGAUAUUCCUGUACUACCGAUAACCGUUUGAGAGAAGGGAUGACACAGUAGGAUAAGCUAAGCACACUGUUGGUUAUGUGUGCCCAAGCAUUGAGGCAGUCAAAGUAGGCAAAUCCGCUUUGAUAAUGCUGGGAUGUGAUGGGGAGCGAAAUUUAGUAGCGAAGUAGCUGAUUUCACACUGUCAAGAAAAGUCUCUAUCGAGGUUAAAGGUACCCGUACCGCAAACCGACACAGGUGGGUGAGGAGAGUAUCCUAAGGCCAGCGAGAGAACUGUUGUUAAGGAACUCGGCAAAAUGACCCCGUAACUUAGGGAUAAGGGGUGCCACCAUCAGGUGGCCGCAGAGAAUAGGCCCAAGCGACUGUUUACCAAAAACAUAGGUUUCUGCUAAGUCGCAAGACGAUGUAUAGGAGCUGACGCCUGCCCGGUGCUGGAAGGUUAAGGGGAUCUGUUAGAGCAAUCGAAGCAGUGAACUUAAGCCCCAGUAAACGGCGGCCGUAACUAUAACGGUCCUAAGGUAGCGAAAUUCCUUGUCGGGUAAGUUCCGACCCGCACGAAAGGCGUAACGAUUUGGGCACUGUCUCAACAACAGACUCGGUGAAAUUGUAAUUCCGGUGAAGAUGCCGGAUACCUGCGACAGGACGGAAAGACCCCAUGGAGCUUUACUGUAGCUUGACAUUGGGUCUUGGUACUACAUGUACAGGAUAGGUGGGAGGCUUUGAAACCAGGACGCCAGUUUUGGCGGAGCCAUCCUUGGGAUACCACCCUUGUAGUACUGGGACUCUAACCAUAGGCCAUGAAUCUGGUCUUGGGACACUGUCAGGUGGGCAGUUUGACUGGGGCGGUCGCCUCCCAAAAGGUAACGGAGGCGCUCAAAGGUUCUCUCAGUACGGUCGGAAAUCGUACGUAGAGUGUAAAGGCAAAAGAGAGCUUGAUUGCAAGACAUACAGGUCGAGCAAGGAUGAAAAUCGGACUUAGUGAUCCGGUGGUUCUGCGUGGAAGGGCCAUCGCUCAACGGAUAAAAGCUACCCUGGGGAUAACAGGCUUAUCUCCCCCAAGAGUCCACAUCGACGGGGAGGUUUGGCACCUCGAUGUCGGCUCAUCACAUCCUGGGGCUGUAGUAGGUCCCAAGGGUUGGGCUGUUCGCCCAUUAAAGUGGUACGCGAGCUGGGUUCAGAACGUCGUGAGACAGUUCGGUCCCUAUCCGUCGCAGGCGUAGGAAAUUUGAGAAGACCUGUCCUUAGUACGAGAGGACCGGGAUGGACGUACCUCUGGUGUACCAGUUGUUCUGCCAAGGGCAUGGCUGGGUAGCUAUGUACGGAAUGGAUAAGCGCUGAAAGCAUCUAAGCGCGAAGCCAACUUCAAGAUAAGAUUUCCCACCGCAAGGGUAAGACCCCAGAAAGACUAUCUGGUUGAUAGGUCGAAGGUGUAAGUGCAGCAAUGUAUUUAGCUUAUCGAUACUAAUAGGUCGAGGACUUGACCAAUAUUAUUUGAUGUUAUUCAUUAAGAUAUAUGUGCAGUUUUUAGAGUGUUAACU